rnacentral:tRNA from 1 species
ACCUGUGUAGUGGUUAGUACUCCACGUUGUGGCCGUGGCGACGCUGGUUCGAUUCCAGCAGCAGGCA